AUUCUGGCUCAGGAUGAACGCUGGCGGCGUGCCUAACACAUGCAAGUCGAACGGAGAUUUAACGCUGAUGAAGCUUCGGCAGAAUCUUGUUAAAUCUUAGUGGCGGACGGGUGAGUAACGCGUGGGUAACCUGCCUCGUACUGGGGGAUAACAGUUGGAAACGACUGUUAAUACCGCAUAAGCGCACGGUGUCGCAUGACACAGUGUGAAAAACUCCGGUGGUACGAGAUGGGCCCGCGUCAGAUUAGCUAGUUGGUGGGGUAACGGCCCACCAAGGCGACGAUCUGUAGCCGGACUGAGAGGUCGGACGGCCACAUUGGGACUGAGACACGGCCCAAACUCCUACGGGAGGCAGCAGUGGGGGAUAUUGCACAAUGGGCGAAAGCCUGAUGCAGCGACGCCGCGUGAGUGAAGAAGUAUUUCGGUAUGUAAAGCUCUAUCAGCAGGGAAGAAAGGCCCGCAAGGGAGAUGACGGUACCUGACUAAGAAGCCCCGGCUAACUACGUGCCAGCCGCAGC
rnacentral:rRNA from 1 species